AUUGAACGCUGGCGGCAUGCCUUACACAUGCAAGUCGAACGGUAACAGGUCUUCGGAUGCUGACGAGUGGCGAACGGGUGAGUAAUACAUCGGAACGUGCCUAGUAGUGGGGGAUAACUACUCGAAAGAGUGGCUAAUACCGCAUGAGAUCUACGGAUGAAAGCAGGGGAUCGCAAGACCUUGUGCUACUAGAGCGGCCGAUGGCAGAUUAGGUAGUUGGUGGGAUAAAAGCUUACCAAGCCGACGAUCUGUAGCUGGUCUGAGAGGACGAUCAGCCACACUGGGACUGAGACACGGCCCAGACUCCUGCGGGAGGCAGCAGUGGGGAAUUUUGGACAAUAGGCGCAAGCCUGAUCCAGCAAUGCCGCGUGCAGGAUGAAGGCCUUCGAGUUGUAAACUGCUUUUGUACGGAACGAAAAGCCCCGGGUUAAUACCCUGGGGUCAUGACGGUACCGUAAGAAUAAGCACCGGCUAACUACGUGCCAGCCGCCGCGGUAA
rnacentral:rRNA from 1 species